AUGGCAGUUUCGAGAGCGCUCGUCCUCGGCGUCCUGCUGGCGAUCGCCGUCGCCAAUGCCGAGGCAGCGUCCGUCGUGGUCGGCCAGGUCAAGUGCACCGACUGCACCAGGAAGAACUUGAAGGCCGAGGAAGCCUUCAAGGGUAAGCGCUAG
rnacentral:rRNA from 1 species